GUCCUAGCCGUAAACGAUGGACACUAGGUGUCGGGGUGUCGACUCCCCGGUGCCGAAGCUAACGCAUUAAGUGUCCCGCCUGGGGAGUACGGCCGCAAGGCUAAAACUCAAAGGAAUUGACGGGGCCCGCACAAGCAGUGGAGCAUGUGGUUUAAUUCGACGCAACGCGAAGAACCUUACCUGGGCUUGACAUGUACGUGGUAGGAAUUGGAAACAUGACCGACCCUUCGGGGAGCGUACACAGGUGGUGCAUGGCUGUCGU
rnacentral:rRNA from 1 species